rnacentral:tRNA from 1 species
GGGAUAAUAGUUAAAUUAACGUUUAAUUUGCAUUUAAAAAAUAUUGAAUUAUAUCAAUUUAUCUUA